AAUGAACGUUGGCGGCGUGGAUUAGGCAUGCAAGUCGAGCGAGAACCCGCAAGGGGGACAGCGGCAAACGGGGUAGGAAUGAUUGGUGACGUACCCUCGGGACGGGGAUAGCCACGGGAAACUGUGGGUAAUACCCGAUGAUCUCCCAGGUUUGAAGACCUGGGUGCAAAGGUGUGAUUCCACCGGAGGAGCGGCCAAUCUGGUAUUAGCUAGUUGGUAGGGUAACGGCCUACCAAGGCUACGAUGCCUAGGGGGUGUGAGAGCAUGGCCCCCACCACUGGGACUGAGAUACUGCCCAGACACCUACGGGUGGCUGCAGUCGAGAAUCUUCGGCAAUGGGCGAAAGCCUGACCGAGCGACGCCGCGUGCGGGAUGAAGGCCUUCGGGUUGUAAACCGCUGUCAGAGGGGAUGAAGUUCUAGGAGGUUCUCCUUCUAGAUUGACAGAGCCUCAGAGGAAGCACGGGCUAAGUAUGUGCCAGCAGCCGCCGUAAUAC
rnacentral:rRNA from 1 species